AGCCGUGUAAAGUGAUAUGAAAACAUUAUGCUGAUAGAUCUUUGCAAUCAUUUCUUAUUCACUAGAAAAGUUUUUUGUAGUUACAAAAAAUAUGAAUCUUGUGCCUCUAAUGAAUUAAUACAAAGCAUAUGUUUUUAACAGCCAUUAAUUGUUGCAAAAAUGGUUGCGGCGCCAGUGCACGAGUUCGGUAUCGUCCAUUGAUUAGUUGGAAACUUCAACACUUUUUUCAUUCAAUGCAGUAAAAGCAAUUACAUUUCCGAUUAAUGGCAUGCUGCAUGGUAAAGUUAGCGUAGAGUGAUAAACAGAUUGGUAGGUUUUUUACGUUUGAAAAAUGGCUAUUUCUUUGCGAGGGGGUCAAAAGGGGGGGACACGGGAGUAUCGAUAGAUAUUUUAUUCUAGCAUUAACUUUUACAAUUUAUGAGGAGCAAUUAUAUAGAGUAUACUCGUUCACAACCAUAACUUUCAAUUGGGAAAAAAACGAUAAAUUCCUUUUUUUUUUAUAUAUAUAUAUAUAUAAUAUCAUUAUUACUAAUAAAUGAUAAACUCUUCGUUCAAAGAUAUAAUUAUG
rnacentral:lncRNA from 1 species